CUUUACUGUAGCCUGGUAUUGGGUUCGGGCUUUGACUGCGCAGGAUAGGUGGGAGACUAUGAAGCUGCCCUUGUGGGGGCAGUGGAGUCAUCAGUGAGAUACCACUCUGUCAAGGCUAGAAUUCUAACCGUCUGCCGUUAUCCGGCGACGGAACAGUAUCAGGUGGGCAGUUUGACUGGGGCGGUCGCCUCCUAAAUGGUAACGGAGGCGCGCAAAGGUUCCCUCAGGCUGGUUGGAAUUCAGCCGAAGAGUGUAAAGGCAGUAGGGAGCUUGACUGCAAGAGCAACAACUCAAGCAGGGACGAAAGUCGGCCUUAGUGAUCCGACGGCGCUGAGUGGAAGGGCCGUCGCUCAACGGAUAAAAGUUA
rnacentral:rRNA from 1 species